rnacentral:lncRNA from 1 species
UGAAACAUCACAGUUACAGAACAAUGCAUAGCAGACCAAAGAAGAACCAUCAUCCACAGAAAUCUCAUACCACAGAGUACAUUAGAAAGCAUUAAAACUCAGGUGGCACAACAAAUAGCACAACAUGAAAUCGAUUCACACACACAAAUAGGACAUGAAGUGGAACAGACACCAGAAAUAACAUUCAUUGACGACAACACACUAUCCAUUAACAGCAUUGACACAGACCUAAUAAAUAAACUCACUGACACAUUCCAGGAAACAUUAACCAAAUUCACAGGUACAGACCCCAUGCAAUGUCCAUGCAUUCCUAAACUACACAACUCACAACAAUCAAACAAUACACUACACUGUAUGAACACACACAUUCUACCAAAAUUUAUUAAUGCAGAAAUGACACUCAUAGAAAUACAUACACUUAUUUAUGCAGCUGCUGUCAUUGUCACCACAUACCUAGGUCUUAAAACACUUCCAAAUAAGCUGGGCACAAACACAAGACAUCACUUAAAGCCUGCCUGGCAAAAACGAUUCGAAAAGCAAAUAUAAAUGAAAUCAGAAUAUAAC